AUUGCCUCAGUAACGGCGAGUGAAGCGGCAACAGCUCAAAUUUGAAAUCUGGCUUCUUUCAGGGCCCGAGUUGUAAUUUGUAGAGGAUGCCUUCGGGUGUGGCCCCGGCCUAAGUUCCUUGGAACAGGACGUCACAGAGGGUGAGAAUCCCGUAUGUGGCUGGAGGUCUAUACCCAUGUGAAGCUCCUUCGACGAGUCGAGUUGUUUGGGAAUGCAGCUCAAAAUGGGUGGUAAGUUUCAUCUAAAGCUAAAUACUGGCGGGAGACCGAUAGCGCACAAGUAGAGUGAUCGAAAGAUGAAAAGCACUUUGGAAAGAGAGUUAAAAAGUACGUGAAAUUGUUGAAAGGGAAGCGCUUGCGACCAGACUUGCCCUCGGUUGAUCAACCGGUGUUCUUCACCGGUGCACUCGGCUGAGGUCAGGCCAGCAUCAGUUCAGGCGGUUGGAGAAAGACCUUGGGAAUGUGGCUCCCUCCGGGGAGUGUUAUAGCCCAUGGUGUCAUGCGACCAGCCUGGACUGAGGACCGCGCUUUGUGCUAGGAUGCUGGCGUAAUGGUCGUAAGCGACCCGUCUUGAAACACGGACCAAGGAGUCUAACAUCUAUGCGAGUGUUUGGGUGUAAAACCCAUGCGCGUAAUGAAAGUGAACGGAGGUGGGAACCCUUGAGGGUGCACCAUCGACCGAUCCUGAUGUCUUCGGAUGGAUUUGAGUAAGAGCAUAGCUGUUGGGACCCGAAAGAUGGUGAACUAUGCCUGAAUAGGGUGAAGCCAGAGGAAACUCUGGUGGAGGCUCGCAGCGGUUCUGACGUGCAAAUCGAUCGUCAAAUUUGGGUAUAGGGGCGAAAGACUAAUCGAACCAUCUAGUAGCUGGUUCCUGCCGAAUUUUCCC
rnacentral:rRNA from 1 species